rfam:Streptococcus sp. DF1 DF1_Contig11, whole genome shotgun sequence.
GCCGCAAUAGCUCAGUCGGUAGAGCAGCACCAUGGUAAGGUGAAGGUCGUAGGUUCGAUUCCUAUUUGCGGCA